GAUGAAGAACGUAGCGAAAUGCGAUACUUGGUGUGAAUUGCAGAAUCCCGUGAACCAUCGAGUCUUUGAACGCAAGUUGCGCCUCAAGCCAUUAGGUUGAGGGCACGUCUGCCUGGGCGUCACAUAUCGUUGCCUGAUGCCAGUUUCCUCGUGAUGGGUGACUGUGCAGGGCGAAUGAUGGCUUCCCGUGAGCCUUGUUGCCUCAUGGUUGGUUGAAAAUUGAGUCCUUGGUAGGGAGCGCCGUGAUAGAUGGUGGUUGAGUGACGAACGAGACCCAAUCAUGUGAGACCCCUACCGAAUUUGGCCUUCAUGACCCACAUGCGUCUUUGGAACGCUCAUGACGAGACCACAGGUCAGGCGGGGCUACCCGCUGAGUUUAAGCAUAUCAAUAAGCGGAGGA
rnacentral:misc_RNA from 1 species